UACGUAGGGUGCGAGCGUUGUCCGGAAUUAUUGGGCGUAAAGGGCUCGUAGGCGGUUUGUCGCGUCGGGAGUGAAAACCCAGGGCUUAACCCUGGGCUGGCUUCCGAUACGGGCAGACUAGAGGUAUGCAGGGGAGAACGGAAUUCCUGGUGUAGCGGUGAAAUGCGCAGAUAUCAGGAGGAACACCGGUGGCGAAGGCGGUUCUCUGGGCCUUACCUGACGCUGAGGAGCGAAAGCAUGGGGAGCGAACAGG
rnacentral:rRNA from 1 species